rnacentral:rRNA from 1 species
UACGGAGGGGGCAAGCGUUGUUCGGAAUUAUUGGGCGUAAAGGGCGUGUAGGCGGCUUUACAAGCCCGGUGUGAAAGGCCACCGCUUAACGGUGGGAGUGCGCUGGGAACUGUAGGGCUAGAGUUCAGGAGGGGAAGCUGGAAUUCCUGGUGUAGGGGUGAAAUCUGUAGAUAUCAGGAAGAACACCGGUGGCGAAGGCGAGCUUCUGGCCAUGAACUGACGCUGAGGCGCGAAAGCGUGGGGAGCGAACAGG